AUUGAACGCUGGCGGUAUGCUUAACACAUGCAAGUCGAACGGUAACAGGCCUUCGGGCGCUGACGAGUGGCGGACGGUGAGUAACGCGUAGGAAUCUGCCUCAUAGUGGGGGACAACGUGGGGAAACUCACGCUAAUACCGCAUACGCCCUACGGGGGAAGCGGGGGAUCUUCGGACCUCGCGCUAUGAGAUGAGCCUGCGUUAGAUUAGCUAGUUGGUAGGGUAAAGGCCUACCAAGGCGACGAUCUAUAGCUGGUCUGAGAGGACGAUCAGCCACACUGGGACUGAGACACGGCCCAGACUCCUACGGGAGGCAGCAGUGGGGAAUAUUGGACAAUGGGCGCAAGCCUGAUCCAGCAAUACCGCGUGUGUGAAGAAGGCCUUAGGGUUGUAAAGCACUUUCAAUUGGGAGGAAAACCUGCCGGUCAAUACCCGGUAGCUUGACAUUACCUUUAAGAAGAAGCACGGCUAACUCCGUGCCAGCAGCCGCGGUAAU
rnacentral:rRNA from 1 species